UACAGAGGUCCCAAGCGUUGUUCGGAUUCACUGGGCGUAAAGGGUGCGUAGGUGGUGAGGUAAGUCGGAUGUGAAAUCUCCAAGCUCAACUUGGAAACUGCAUUGGAAACUACCUUGCUAGAGGAUUUGAGGGGGGAUUGGAAUACUUGGUGUAGCAGUGAAAUGCGUAGAUAUCAAGUGGAACAUUAGUGGCGAAGGCGAAUCCCUGGACGACUGUUGACGCUGAGGUGCGAAAGCGUGGGGAGCAAACAGG
rnacentral:rRNA from 1 species